CCGAGGCUUUGCUCUGAGGCAGGCUCCCGCAGCGAUUGCCUAGUGCUUCCCUUCCCACGUCUGCGGCUUGGAUGUUUCAGCCCGAGCCCUCGGCCUGGUUGGUGCUAGCCGGGAGCGUCUCCCUCUGUGCCUGUGAAGGAGAUGAGUUAUGGGAUAUAUGGUUACAUGAGAAGUCAUCUAAAUUUUGUGUUCUAAAGUGAAGUUGAGAGUAUUUCUGAGUGAACCUUGACUACUGUAACUCCUCCUUUAUGACUCUCUCAAGUUCGGUUUGCCAGAAAUAUGGAAGCUGCAAUCCAUCUCCUUGCAUGAAGUUGGUAGAACCUCACAUCCAUUAUCAGAAAUCUUCAUUGGCAGACUGCCCGUAUUGGAGUCCAAAAUAACAUUUCCAUCUUCUCUAUCUUCCAUGGGAUUACUGUCUUCCACUUCAUAUCUCUCUGAUUUCACCUAUUUCUGUUCUGCAACCCGUUCCUUAAUACUUUGCAAACACGAGAUUUCUUCCUACAGGCUCCAUGUGGUAUUAUUUUAAAGUUUCCAUUACUAAGGCUCCAUUUUCCCUGUCCCUUAGCUAGCUGGGAUGCAGAGAGUGGUGUUAAUAUCACCCCUUCAGCAGAGCUACUAUCGCAGUAGAAUUCUAUUUGUUGGUUGCCCUACACAGUGAAAAUAAUUCCAUGCUCAUAAUUGAUGUAAACAGAAUUUGAUAAUAGUUGAACUUGAUAGCCUAUCAGGUCUCUUCCAACCCAGACUUUUGUGAUGCUCCUUUUGAUGAUCAAGCAAAAAAUAAUACAAAAACACUAAUCAAACAUCUAGCAGCUCCCAUCUCAAGCUAGGUGAUAAUAAUAAAUAUUGAGCAAGGAACAUUGAAAAUUAAAUCUUUAUAUAAAACAUAUGUAAUAUAAAUCUACUGAAAAAAUGAGAGCUGAUCUGUUGGCUCUGGUGAGAUCUUGUAGUUGUAUUGAAAAGGAUCAGAAGAAUCUCUUUGAGGUAGCAUCAGAUAUGAUUAAAGACAUGGAAGCAUUCAGAGGAGUCUUGUACAUUCUGAAAUUUAAAAGAGUAAGUUUCUUUAGGGCUAAAUAAUCCUCAGCCCCUAAGCAAAUGUUUGAGGUCAGGAAAGGGAAGUCAAAAUAAGCCUCAUCUUACCAUGCUCCCCUGUUCAAAGACUAGUUCCAAUUGCUGUCCCUUCACUCUGAAGCUCAGAAUCUGCUCCCUCUGUAUGUCCCCAAGCGAGCAUAGUGUCCCAAAAUGGGCAGGGAAGAAGUGGAACAAUGGCACCACCCCACAAGUCAGCUGAACAGGACCCCUGGACAAGUACAUUGCACCACUCAAAGGAAAGGAUGUACAACCUCUGGACCACACUCUCUCUCUCGGCUCUGCAAGGGGUGAAGCACCCCCGCUCCUCCUCCAGUACAGGCCUUUGUGUAAAUCAGCCAGUCUGGCUCCUGGUCAUUAAAAGAGAAUCAUAGCAGUGACAUCAUACAGGUGUACAUAAUUAUGAAUAAAGUAGCUCAGUCAGGUGCUGCUGUUUACUUUUUCCCAUAUGACAAGAGGCCACUCAAGGAAGUUAAGAUAAUACAUUUAAUAUGGAUAAAAGGUAAUGAUUUUUUACACAACAAAAAUUGUACAACUCACUAUCAGAGGCAACAAUUGAACCUCCUCAAUGGUUUUGGUUCACAGCAGUGUUAGAUAUUUAAAGAAUAGAAAAGAAGCUUUGUUACUCUACUCAGGAUGAAAAUUGGAAGGUCUGUCAAUCUUCAUGCUCAAAGGAAUAAACUAGGGUAAAGAAAAAAUAGCACUCAUAACUCAUAAACAUGUAGGAAUUUAGGAUCUCUGCUCUGGAGCACACUGGUCCAUCUAGUCUAAUUUUAUUUGGCCUAUGCUGCACAUAUCAAAGGAAGGCAAACCUUCCUUAGUAUUGCACAAAGUCCAGAAGAAAUGUCUCCUGUGCUCCAGUAUUGCAUAAGGUCAGAAAGAAAUUUUCCCUUUGGUACAAUAUUUCAUAAACUCUGGAAGACAUUUUUCCCAUGCUAUAGUAUUGCAUGAUUGUCAAGAUCCAUGAUGUAACAUAGCACCUUCCUUUGAAGUAUCCAGCAUAAACCACAUGAUGCUGGACUAGAUGGACGAGUCUGUUCCAAUGUGAUGAUAUCUAUAUUUCUAUGUGACUAUCUGAGUUGGUUGUCCCUGUAUUGAUUAUAAAUGAAACAGACUUCAGCACACUUAGAUAAAAGCAAUUAAUUUAAUCAUUUACAACUGAAUUAUGAACUACUGCUUUUUGUAGUGGUCAUGAAGCUUUCUGAUAUAGGUCUCGUACGCCAGAGACAGUUUCCCAAAUGUUGUCACCUCCCUUAAGAUCAAAAUAAGUAACAGGCUUUCCCUAAGUCAUUGGUCCACUUCCUCAGCUAAGGUUCUGGCCUAUGUUUUGAAUGAGGUGGGGUUGGUGUUUGUAGCUAUGUCAGUAUGGAGUAUGGAUUAUGAUUUUGUUUUCUUGAGCCUGCAACAUUAAUUGUCCUAAGGCAGUACUGUCUUUUGGCAUCAUCUGAGACACACUGCACUCUCUCUCAUAUAGACAUUAUUUUUGUUCUUUUUCUGUAGUUUACCUUAAAU